AAAGAGGGACAUGAUUAGGUUCUAAAACUGCCAAGGAGCAGAAGCUGUUGUUGCUUGACAGCAGUGGCUGUAGCCAUAUGAAGAUUGACAUGGAUGAUGACUGUGAUGCGAGAGACAAGGGUGGUAAUGAUGAUUUUGAGCCAAGUGACAAGGAUGAACUCUUAAGCCCAAGGCAGCGGAUUAGUCUGUGGUGACAUAAUUCACAGAAAAAAUCUUCUAUGAUAAUUACAUGCCACAAAUGUAUACUCAACUAAGAAAAUGCUUAUAAAUUUGACCUUAAUGCCCUUGCAAAUAACAAGAUCGAGAUCUUAGUGCCCUUACAAAUAACAAGAGUUGAUCUUGUAUAUAUGUUCCAGUUUUAGAGCUUUGACUUAGAAAUAUACAAUUGUGCGUCACUACAGACACAAAUGCAGGUUUGCUCCAUGCUCUCAGUUCCUAUUCUCCUGCUGCCAUGGCUCCCAAACAUUUUAGUGAUUGGCUAAGUCAACUGCAAUAAAACAAAUCAUUUUUUUUACAUCAUCUAUAAAUAUGUCUAUUUUUUUUGCAUCAUCUAUAAAUAUAUCUAAUUUAUAAAAUUUGCAGUGGGAUUUCUUCCCACUGUUUCUCGUAAGAAAAAAGUUACAGUUUUAUAUCUGGCUAAUUAAGAGUAUGGUCUGAAACUGCUACUACUUGCAUGAACAUGCAGUUAAAUCUGAAGAGCACCUUACCUAAUACUCCAAAGCAAAGUUUCAUGUAAAAUUAAAUUACGAUCACAGAUAAUAAAGACUACAUCAAACCUCCGCACCCUUGGGACAGCUGGUACAUAUGGGAUUGUAUUUGUCACAUCCCCAAACAUCUCAGGCAGAACAAUAGGUAGCUGCGUUCUUGCUCUUUUGGGGACCAGCUCCACGAAGGUGAUUGUCAACGUCGAGCUAUCUGAUCCUAUUUUGCACAGAUGUGCUCUACGGCAAGGAGACCCCUCUCCCUGAUUCUGUUUGUCUUGGUGAUGGAUUGUUUGGGCAGAAUGAUAGACAAAGCCCAAGAGGACUGAAUCAUACCCAAGAUUGGCAAUCAAAUUCUCAGGCUCAGUACUUCUCUCUACCGAUGAUGUAGUGAUUUUUCUCAGACCUAACCUCCAUGAUCUGCAAGCUACCGUAGCCAUAUUGCAGUUGUUUGGUGAUGCCACAGGUAUUUACACCAACAUGUCAAAGAGCAACAUUCUGCCUAUCGGGUGCCAUAAUAUUGAUCUUGACUGACUUGACAUUCGCUGCUGCUACCACCUCUGCAAGAUCUCUCAGUUCCCUUAUCAGUACUUGGGCCUCCCUCUUUCUGAUAAGAGGCUUAGAAGGGCAGAGUUCUAGCAUCUGCUUGACAAAUUAAUGAAAAGCCAGCUGGAUGGAAGGCCAAAUGGAUCUCUAUGGAUGGUACACUAAUUCUGGUAAAGGCAGUUCUCUCGGCGCUCCCCGCUUAUCAGCUGAUGGCCAUUUUUCAUCCGAAGUGGCUGCACAAGCAGCUCGACAAACUGAGACAUGCCUUUCUUUGGGCUGCUGACGACAAGGUUUCUGGAGGUAAAUGCCUUGUUAACUGGAUGACUGUUUGCUUGCCGAAGCAUCUGGGGGGCCUUGACAUCCCAAACCUGGAGGGAUUACAUCCAGUUUGAUGAUGAGCAGGACAGUGCGUCUUGGAAAUGGACUAGUGGUGGCAUGUACACUGCUGCUUCUGCCUACUUACCUCAGUUUGUUGGUCCCCUCUGCACAACAAAUUUGGAAAACACAAGGUAUUCCCAAAUGCAGGUUGCAUGCGUGACCCCUUAUGCACAACAAAUGUCUCACUGCGGAUAAUCUUGUGAAGAAGGGAUGGCCGCAUUUCAAAGCUAACGCUGGCCCUUGUAUAGUUGUAUGUCUCCCGUUACCUGUAUCACCCUUUAAACUUGGGCGUCCGUAAUUUUCUCCCUGUACUUCUCAGACUCUGUAUCUCUCUUGGCAUUUGUUUCGAUCUUUUCCUUUGAGUAAUCGAAGCAACUCUGCUGCUUUCCGUCAAAAAAAGGCAGAACAGUAAACUUAAAUCUGUACAUGGCACGAGAAGGUUACCAGGUGGGAACGGAAUUGCAGCGCUUGAAGCCAUGGAUGAUGUAGCUGAAGCCCAGCAGGCCACCACUGCCAGAUCACUAGCUUCUGCGAAGGAGGAUGGUCGACACGUCAAAGGCGCGGGUCCAGCGGAAACGACGACCCAGAGGAGGCAUGUUGUAUUCCUUUUGGAAAAUCUCACCCUAUGACUUCUUAAUCUAGUAAAGGAGGAACUACAUGACUUCUGAAAGAAGCACCAU